ACACAUGCAGUCGAGCGGUAACAUUUCUAGCUUGCUAGAAGAUGACGAGCGGCGGACGGGUGAGUAAUGCUUGGGAAUAUGCCUUUGAGUGGGGGACAACAGUUGGAAACGACUGCUAAUACCGCAUAACGUCUACGGACCAAAGGGGGGGAUCUUCGGACCUCUCGCUCAUUGAUUAGCCCAAGUGAGAUUAGCUAGUUGGUAAGGUAAUGGCUUACCAAGGCGACGAUCUCUAGCUGGUUUGAGAGGAUGAUCAGCCACACUGGGACUGAGACACGGCCCAGACUCCUACGGGAGGCAGCAGUGGGGAAUAUUGCACAAUGAGCGAAAGCCUGAUGCAGCCAUGCCGCGUGUGUGAAGAAGGCCUUCGGGUUGUAAAGCACUUUCAGUUGUGAGGAAAGGGGUGUAGUUAAUAGCUGCAUUCUGUGACGUUAACAACAGAAGAAGCACCGGCUAACUUCGUGCCAGCAGCCGCGGUAAUACGAGGGGUGCAAGCGUUAAUCGGAAUUACUGGGCGUAAAGCGUUCGUAGGCGGUCUAUUAAGCAAGAUGUGAAAGCCCAGGGCUCAACCUUGGAAAUGCAUUUUGAACUGGUAGACUAGAGUACUGUAGAGGGUGGUGGAAUUUCCAGUGUAGCGGUGAAAUGCGUAGAGAUUGGAAGGAACAUCAGUGGCGAAGGCGACCACCUGGACAGAUACUGACGCUGAGGAACGAAAGCGUGGGGAGCGAACAGGAUUAGAUACCCUGGGUAGUCCACGCCGUAAACGAUGUCAACUAGCCGUUUGUGUCCUUGAGACGUGAGUGGCGCAGCUAACGCACUAAGUUGACCGCCUGGGGGAGUACGGGCCGCAAGGUUAAAACUCAAAUGAAUUUGACGGGGGCCCGCACAAGCGGUGGGAGCAUGGUGGUUUAAUUUCGAUGCAACGGCGGAAGAACCUUUACCCAUCCCUUUGACAUCCCAGAGAAGAGACUUAGGGGAUAGACUUUGUGCCUUUCGGAACUACUGUGACAGGUGCUGCAUGGGCUGUCGUCAGCUCGUGUCGUGGAGAUGUUGGUAGUACCGCAACGGAGCGGCAAGCCCC
rnacentral:rRNA from 1 species